rnacentral:rRNA from 1 species
GACGAACGCUGGCGGCGUGCUUAACACAUGCAAGUCGAGCGGUAAGGCCCUUUCGGGGGUACACGAGCGGCGAACGGGUGAGUAACACGUGGGUGACCUGCCCUCAGCUCUGGGAUAAGCCUGGGAAACCGGGUCUAAUACUGGAUAUGACUCCAUGACGCAUGUUGUGGGGUGGAAAGCCUUGUGCGGCUGAGGAUGGGCCCGCGGCCUAUCAGCUUGUUGGUGGGGGUGAUGGCCUACCAAGGCGACGACGGGUAGCCGGCCUGAGAGGGCGACCGGCCACACUGGGACUGAGACACGGCCCAGACUCCUACGGGAGGCAGCAGUGGGGAAUCUUGCGCAAUGGGCGAAAGCCUGACGCAGCGACGCCGCGUGAGGGAUGACGGCCUGG